GCGCGCGUAGCUCAGCUGGAUAGAGCGUUGGCCUCCGGAGCCAAAGGCCGCAGGUUCGAAUCCUGCCGUGCGCA
rnacentral:tRNA from 1 species